rnacentral:rRNA from 1 species
UACGUAGGAGGCGAGCGUUGUUCGGAAUUACUGGGCGUAAAGGGCGCGUAGGCGGCCAACUAAGUCAGACGUGAAAUCCCCUGGCUCAACCAGGGAACUGCGUCUGAUACUGGAUGGCUUGAAUCCGGGAGAGGGAUGUGGAAUUCCAGGUGUAGCGGUGAAAUGCGUAGAUAUCUGGAGGAACACCGGUGGCGAAGGCGGCAUCCUGGACCGGUAUUGACGCUGAGGCGCGAAAGCCAGGGGAGCAAACGGG